GCCAGGGUAAUCCAUCAGAUGGAUUUGAUAUUUUGAAAUACAAUGUGGACAAUCUGAUCAGAGUUGACAAUUGAACUCUGGGGUGUCCUAUGAUCAUUUUGGUCAAGGAGAUGAAUUAUAUGAAAAGUAUAUCCGCAUGGGUUCUAAGGAUGUUGUUCUAUACAUUCGACCUAUCCGAUCGUCGGGUACCAUUGCUAGAUGGUCACUUCGAUUGGUACAGAAAUUUAUUCUUGUGCUACCGACUUAGGUUCGGACCUAUGAGGUCACACACAUUAGAGUUC
rnacentral:lncRNA from 1 species